rnacentral:rRNA from 1 species
AGGGCGUUCGGUGGAUGCCUUGGCGCUAAGAGCCGAAGAAGGACGCGGUAAGCUGCGAAAAGCUACGACGAGCUGCAAGCAAGCGAAGACUCGUAGAUAUCCGAAUGGGAAAACCCCACUGGAGUAAUAUCCAGUGAUCCUAUAGCCAAUCCAUAACUAUAGGAAGGCAACCUGGAGAACUGAAACAUCUAAGUACCCAGAGGAAAAGAAAGAAAACUCGAUUCCCCCAGUAGCGGCGAGCGAAAAGGGAAAAGCCCAAACCAACACUUAGGUGUUGGGGUUGUAGGACCUUCAUUACGGAAAAGAGUCAUAGCCGAAGGACUUGGGAAAGUCCAUCACAGAAGGUAAAAAUCCUGUAAGCGAAAUGACGACAGACCAGAAGGGAUCCUGAGUACCACGAGGCACGUGAAAUCUCGUGGGAAACCGGGGGGACCACCCCCCAAGGCUAAAUACUCCUUAGCGACCGAUAGAGAACAAGUACCGUGAGGGAAAGGUGAAAAGAACCCCUGGAGGGGAGUGAAAAGAACCUGAAACCGAACGCUUACAAGCUGUCACAGCACCAUACGAGUGUAGUGGCGUACUUUUUGUAGAACGGACCGGCGAGUUGCGUUAUCAAGCGAGGUUAAGUAGAGAAUACGGAGCCGAAGCGAAAGCGAGUCUAAAGAGGGCAAAAGUUUGAUGACGCAGACCCGAAACCGGGUGAUCUACCCAUGAGCAGGAUGAAGCGUUAGUAAAAUAACGUGGAGGUCCGAACCAGGUAACGUUGAAAAGUUAUUGGAUGACUUGUGGGUAGGGGUGAAAUUCCAAUCGAACCCGGAGAUAGCUGGUUCUCCUCGAAAUAGCUUUAGGGCUAGCCUUAACGUAGAGGUUUAUGGAGGUAGAGCACUGAAUUGGCUAGGGGGCCUCACCGCUUACUGAACCAUAUCAAACUCCGAAUGCCAUAAACUAUAGUUAGGAGUCAGACUGUGAGGGAUAAGCUUCAUGGUCAAAAGGGAAACAGCCCAGACCGCCAGCUAAGGUCCCCAAGUGGAUGUUAAGUGGAAAAGGAUGUGAAAUCGCUCAGACAACCAGGAUGUUGGCUCAGAAGCAGCCACCAUUUAAAGAGUGCGUAAUAGCUCACUGGUCCAGGGGUUUUGCGCCGAAAAUGUAACGGGGCUCAAACAUGCCACCGAAGCUGCGGGAUUAUACGUAAAGUAUAAUCGGUAGAGGAGCGUUCUUAACACGACGAAGGCAUACUGAAAAGAGUGCUGGAGAGUUAAGAAGUGAGAAUGCCGGUAUAAGUAUGCGAAAAGGCAGGUGAGAAUCCUGCCCGCCGAAAAUCUAAGGAUUCCUGGGGAAGGCUCGUCCGCCCAGGGUAAGUCGGGACCUAAGGCGAGGCCGAAAGGCGUAGUCGAUGGAAAACUGGUAGAGAUUCCAGUACCACCAAAUGUCGAUUGAGUGAAGUAGUGACGCAGAAAGAUAGGGAGAGCGCCCAGAUGGUGAGGCGUUUAAGUAAGUAGGGUGAUGGGUAGGCAAAUCCGCCCAUUAAAAGCCUGAGAUACGAAUACGAGUGAAAACUAGUAACGAAGUCCCCGAUUCUCCGCUGCCAAGAAAAGCUGCUAACGAGACAGAAGGUGCCCGUACCGUAAACCGACACAGGUAGAUGGGGUGAGAAACCUAAGGCCGACGAGAAAACUCUUGUUAAGGAACUCGGCAAAAUGAACCCGUAACUUAGGGAGAAGGGUUGCUCUAAAAUGUGAGUAUGCAAGCCAUACAGAGCAUAGAAGAGUCGCAGAGAAAAGGUCCAGGCGACUGUUUAGCAAAAACACAGGUCAUUGCAAAAUCGGAAGAUGAAGUAUAAUGGCUGACGCCUGCCCGGUGCUGGAAGGUUAAGGGGAAAUGUGAGAGCAUAGAACCGAAGCCCCAGUAAACGGCGGCCGUAACUAUAACGGUCCUAAGGUAGCGAAAUUCCUUGUCGGGUAAGUUCCGACCCGCACGAAAGGCGUAACGAUCUGGACGCUGUCUCAACAAGGGACUCGGCGAAAUUGAAAUACCGGUAAAGAUGCCGGUUACCUGCGAUAGGACAGAAAGACCCCAUGGAGCUUUACUGCAGCCUGAUAUUGGGUUUUGGUUAUUGAUGUACAGGAUAGGUGGGAGACUAGGAAUCAUGUACGCCAGUAUGUGAGGAGUCGGCGGUGGGAUACCACUCUUCAAUGACUGAAAUUCUAACCCAGGUCCGUGAAACCGGAUCGGGGACAGUGUCAGGCGGA